AAAGUCAUUAUCACCUGUUCUCAAGAGGAAGGGGCCUCAUCUUGAUCUUCUGUCUCAAGAAUAUCAAGUCAUUGUACUUUUGACCUUUCAAAAUAAGAUGUCCCAUGUCUGCCAGUUAUCAUUGACUACAAUGCCCCUUUCCUACCAGCAAGGACAUAAAAGCAAGUAAAAUUGAAGAUCAAGCAAGAGAACAGGAGGAGGAAGAGAGCAAAGCAUAAUGGAUGCUCUUUCAAUAGACAGUAAUGAAGUAUCCAUUUAUGGCAAUAGGGGAACCUCCAUAUCCCUAUGGGUUGAUGUCUGAAGGCUGCAGCAGCAGAUCUGAUGUAGUGAAGAGUUUCUUGUUGGAAAUGAUAGUGUACAGAGAACCAGAAUCAACCAUCAUCUGCACUUCAUCACCAUUAAAUGUAUAAAAUAUAUAUUUUAUGUAUAUAAAAUGUAUAAAAUAAAUAAAUAAAGGUUUACUUCACAAUG